rnacentral:tRNA from 1 species
GGUUCUUAGGCCGACGGGUGAGGCAGCUGAUUGUCGAUCAGCCAAAGACGGGUUCGAGUCCCGUAAGGACCGCCA